UUUAACGCAGGGCUCUUAAAGAGUUUUUAGUGUAUUUAGUAAUUAAAGAAAAAGAAAAAAGACAAAUAAGCUAAACAACGUAUCCUAAUUAAGCGAUAAAACAAACGUUUCUUGUAACACGUGUCUCUCUCUCACGGCUCUCUCUCUCUCUCUCGACGAACUCGAGAGCGAUCUUUAUCCGUUUCUUCAUCUUCUUCCCGAAAUCUAUUUUGAUUCUGUUUCACCGAAUCACUGAAUCGUCAAGGAGAUUCCCUCUCUUUUGAUUCUGCUUCUGCUUUCAAGUCUAAUUCUUUUGAUUCAGAUUGAUAGGAGUUUCCAGAUUCUCAUAUAGUUGGCGAUCAGGAUGUUGAAGUACUGAUGCAUGCAAAGACGAGAGCAUGUGAUCAUUAUAAAGGGUGGAGCUUGUUACAUGAUGAGACAGAACAAACGUGGUGGGAGGAUUAAGUUACAACUAUGGUGAUGCCUCAGUUUCAAUUUGACCACGCUGAAAAAAAGAUGAUCUCUACGGUCAAGACAGAGUCAAAGAAUGAAGCAUUGGGAGUUUUCUUGUGUCACGGAGUGGAGGAAGUCUUGUAGUUUUCUGUCUUGUUGUCUUGUAGCAUUGGGAGUAAACUUGUAGUUUUCUGUCGUGGAGGAAGUUUUGUAGUUUCCAAUCACGUUUGAUCACACACAUAUUCUCUCAUUCUCAACCAACUGAGAUCAUCUUGUUUAGACAUGUUUUUCAUAAAAUGUUUAAUUCUU